rnacentral:lncRNA from 1 species
UGACUUGGCUUCCAUCACAGACAGCAGGUCUCAUCACCUGUGAGGGCUUCUACUUUCUGGUGUGUGGACUAACGCCCAGGAUCUCUAGAUGCUGUGAACACAGAGCAAGUCUUUGUUUGAUAGAACGAGGGCUGAGUGUGCACAGGUGCAAGAAUCUGCCCAGAGGAAAGCGUGGCUCAGCCAGGUAGACGGCACACAUGAUGUGCAUUACAGAGCAAGAGGCCCAUGUCUUGGUACUCCACUCCUGCCCAAGAACGUCAUCUUCCACAGGCCAAUGGAGCUUGCUAAUCCCACAAACCAGGGUCACACCACCCACAGCCAGCCAGGAGCCCAGAGUGGAUUCCAGCCCCUGGCCCCGGAGGUGUGCUAGGCCAUCCCUCAGUGCCAGCUCUGAGGGGCACGGGUGCGCUCUCGGGACAGAGGUGGUGUUUUCCCGUCUGUGCUCGUUAAGGAGGCAGGCAUUUGUCAGAGGAUAUUUGGAAAUGAAUACAUUGCGCUCAGAAUGAAGUUAACUAGCAAGACAUCUGAAAACCCUGUGAUCCAACAUUCCUGAGGUUUGGGCCAGAGGACCUGCUGACCUUGAACUAGAGGUCACCUUAUAAAGUACGUGCAGUUCCCUGCAGCUGGCCAAAGGGAGAAACAAAAGGC